rnacentral:rRNA from 1 species
CAGCCGCCGCGGUAAUACGAAGGGUGCAAGCGUUACUCGGAAUUACUGGGCGUAAAGCGUGCGUAGGUGGUGGUUUGAGUCCGUUGUGAAAGCCCUGGGCUCAACCUGGGAAUUGCAGUGGAUACUGGGUCACUAGAGUGUGGUAGAGGAUAGUGGAAUUUCCGGUGUAGCAGUGAAAUGCGUAGAGAUCGGAAGGAACAUCUGUGGCGAAGGCGACUAUCUGGUCCGACACUGACGCUGAGGCGCGAAAGCGUGGGGAGCAAACAGGAUUAGAUACCCCCGUAGUCCCUGUCUCUUAUAC